rnacentral:rRNA from 1 species
GAUGAACGCUGGCGGCGUGCCUAAUACAUGCAAGUCGAGCGAACGGACGAGAAGCUAGCUUCUCUGAUGUUAGCGGCGGACGGGUGAGUAACACGUGGAUAACCUACCUAUAAGACUGGGAUAACUUCGGGAAACCGGAGCUAAUACCGGAUGAUAUUUUGAACCGCAUGGUUCAAAAGUGAAAGACGGUCUUGCUGUCACUUAUAGAUGGAUCCGCGCUGCAUUAGCUAGUUGGUAAGGUAACGGCUCACCAAGGCAACGAUGCAUAGCCGACCUGAGAGGGUGAUCGGCCACACUGGAACUGAGACACGGUCCAGACUCCUACGGGAGGCAGCAGUAGGGAAUCUUCCGCAAUGGGCGAAAGCCUGACGGAGCAACGCCGCGUGAGUGAUGAAGGUCUUCGGAUCGUAAAACUCUGUUAUUAGGGAAGAACAUAUGUGUAAGUAACUGUGCACAUCUUGACGGUACCUAAUCAGAAAGCCACGGCUAACUACGUG